GAUGAACGCUGGCGGCGUGCCUAAUACAUGCAAGUCGAGCGAAUGGAUUAAGAGCUUGCUCUUAUGAAGUUAGCGGCGGACGGGUGAGUAACACGUGGGUAACCUGCCCAUAAGACUGGGAUAACUCCGGGAAACCGGGGCUAAUACCGGAUAACAUUUUGAACCGCAUGGUUCGAAAUUGAAGGGCGGCUUCGGCUGUCACUUAUGGAUGGACCCGCGUCGCAUUAGCUAGUUGGUGAGGUAACGGCUCACCAAGGCAGCGAUGCGUAGCCGACCUGAGAGGGUGAUCGGCCACACUGGGACUGAGACACGGCCCAGACUCCUACGGGAGGCAGCAGUAGGGAAUCUUCCGCAAUGGACGAAAGUCUGACGGAGCAACGCCGCGUGAGUGAUGAAGGCUUUCGGGUCGUAAAACUCUGUUGUUAGGGAAGAACAAGUGCUAGUUGAAUAAGCUGGCACCUUGACGGUACCUAACCAGAAAGCCACGGCUAACUACGUGCCAGCCGCCGCGGUAA
rnacentral:rRNA from 1 species